rnacentral:rRNA from 1 species
AAUCAACGCUGGCGGCGUGCCUCAGACAUGCAAGUCGAACGAUUAAAGCUCUCUUCGGAGAGUGCAUAAAGUGGCGUACGGGUGAGUAACACGUAAGUAAUCUACCUUUGGGUGGGGAAUAACUCAAGGAAACUUGAGCUAAUACCGCAUAAUGCAGCGGCUCCUUCGGGAGACAGUUGUUAAAGCAUUUAUGCGCCUAAAGAGGAGCUUGCGGCAGAUUAGCUAGUUGGUAAGGUAAUGGCUUACCAAGGCAACGAUCUGUAGCCGGCCUGAGAGGGCGGUCGGUCACACUGACACUGAAUAACGGGUCAGACUCCUACGGGAGGCAGCAGUCGGGAAUUUUGGGCAAUGGGCGAAAGCCUGACCCAGCAACGCCGCGUGAAGGAUGAAGUCCCUCGGGAUGUAAACUUCGGAAAUAUGGGAAGAAUAAAUGACGGUACCAUAUCUAAGGUCCGGCUAACUACGUG